AAAUUGAAGAGUUUGAUCAUGGCUCAGAUUGAACGCUGGCGGCAGGCCUAACACAUGCAAGUCGAACGGUAACAGGAAGCAGCUUGCUGCUUCGCUGACGAGUGGCGGACGGGUGAGUAAUGUCUGGGAAACUGCCUGAUGGAGGGGGAUAACUACUGGAAACGGUAGCUAAUACCGCAUAACGUCGCAAGACCAAAGAGGGGGACCUUCGGGCCUCUUGCCAUCGGAUGUGCCCAGAUGGGAUUAGCUUGUUGGUGGGGUAACGGCUCACCAAGGCGACGAUCCCUAGCUGGUCUGAGAGGAUGACCAGCCACACUGGAACUGAGACACGGUCCAGACUCCUACGGGAGGCAGCAGUGGGGAAUAUUGCACAAUGG
rnacentral:rRNA from 1 species